rnacentral:rRNA from 1 species
CCUACGGGAGGCAGCAGUGAGGAAUAUUGGUCAAUGGACGCAAGUCUGAACCAGCCAUGCCGCGUGCAGGAAGACGGCUCUAUGAGUUGUAAACUUCUUUUGUACGAGGGUAAACGCAGAUACGCGUAUCUGGCUGAAAGUAUCGUACGAAUAAGCAUCGGCUAACUCCGUGCCAGCAGCCGCGGUAAUACGGAGGAUUCAAGCGUUAUCCGGAUUUAUUGGGUUUAAAGGGUGCGUAGGCGGUCGGAUAAGUUAGAGGUGAAAUCCCGAGGCUCAACUCCGGAAUUGCCUCUGAUACUGUCAGGCUAGAGAGUAGUUGAGGUAGGCGGAAUGUAUGGUGUAGCGGUGAAAUGCUUAGAGAUCAUACAGAACACCGAUUGCGAAGGCAGCUUACCAAGCUACUACUGACGUUGAGGCACGAAAGCGUGGGGAGCAAACAGGAUUAGAUACCCUUGUAGUC